rnacentral:snRNA from 1 species
AGCUUUGCGCAGUGGCAGUAUCGUAGCCAAUGAGGUUUAUCCGAGGUGCAAUUAUUGCUAAUUGAAAAAAAGAUUUUAAUUUUAAC